rnacentral:rRNA from 1 species
AUGGGGGUAGCCUCGAUUGGGCACACAGGGGCCAAACUAGUCAAGGAAAGGCGGGGAAUCGGAGGAGAAGGCAGCGGCGGAGCAGCGGCAGGGCGUGGCGGCGCCGGAGCUAGCCGGCAACGGCCGGAGCAGUGGGUGGAGGCGCCGGCGACACGCACAAGAGAGGAAGCAGAGAAGAGAAAAGGGGAUCGACCGCUGUGUUGUUGUCGUGCGCGUUGGGUGCAUCCACCGGCCGCAUUAGUUGCUAGAACAACUAGAAGCAAUUCUAGUCGAAAUUUGUCCGGGAAGUGCAUUCACAAGAAAAUUAUAGCCAGCACCUCAAAACAAAUGUCCCUUUUCCCCUCUGCUAUACAUCGCCCCUCGCUGGGCGCUUUGUAG